rnacentral:lncRNA from 1 species
UUCUCUAUUCAGAAAAAUACACCAUCUAUUCAGAGUGAGUAAGGGUCUCAAAGAACAAAACUGUCUUUCAGGUUCGUGUGUGCGCCGCUUCUCGUUCAAUUUGCAAUGGUUGGAGGUACGCUCGUAAUUCUUUUUAAUUUCUGUUGUUUGAUCUAAAUAUGCUAUUUAAAUUUAUUUGCAUGUUUAGAUCAGUAUAUGUAUAUAUUUACAAUGGUUGCUUUUGAAAAUUCAUCUUCUAUUGAUAUAUUUAUGCAACAUGAAUAUUAAGUAAAGUCAUAAAUCAUGUUAAUAAACUCAUAUUUUAUCAUACUUGACUUUAUAAUAUACUUUGAAUUCACAUUUAUGCUUACAACCUUUAAACUAAACAUACACUUAAAUACUAAGGAAUCUAGUUAAAUUGGUUAUGUGUGCGAAUUAUAAACCUCUUAUAUCAUAUUAAAUUCUUAUGGAUAAAAAAAAUAUACACUUAAAUGUUCAACAAAAUGCUUUGCUCAAUCAUUAUCUUCGCUUGCAGCCUAGCUUGUUGCACGUCAACGAAAUAUGCAAUGCACUACACAAGUUUUUCUUUAAGAAUAUGCUUGAUGGUUUUGGGUGUACUUAAGAAUAUGUUAUUACUCAAAAUAAAUUGAGCAGAAUCGGAACACAUGAGCAUUAGCGUGUUUGGUCUUGCAACUUGCGAACCCCAUUUUCACACUUCUUAUAGACAUGGUUUUAUCCUUUGUAAACAUGACUAUAAAAAUAUAUCUAAACUUGAUUCUAGUAUAAAUAAUUUCAUUUAAAAUAUUAAAUAAUUAAAUUUUAUACAUAAAUCAUUUCAAUAAAAAAAUUAUAUUUAAAUAAAUUUUUAAAAUCAAAUUUAUUCAAAAUAAUUAAAUACUCAUAUCGUUAACCGUUUUAAAUUUGUUACUAGGCAUAGCGGGCAAAAUUGCAUCUUUUUAUAUGGUUCUCGUGAGUCCCUUCAGACAGAGAAGAAAGGAUUUGAAGAGUUGGAAGCGAAGGAGAUGAAGCAAUUUAGUUGCCACAAAUUAUUUAAUCCUUUUAAAAAUAUAAUUUUUGAUGAUUUUUAAUUAUCAAAAAAGGAAUAAUAAUAAUAAAACAAAUGUUAUGUUAUCACUUCAACACAAAUGAAAAAGUCAAAAACAUUGGAUGGAAAAAAUUGAAACAUUGACCAAUUCCCACAAAAUUUAAUGACCAAAACCAUAAACGUAAAAAAAGUUCAAAAACUAAAAGAGCAUAGUUUACAUUUAAAAAUAUCUUAGUUAACUGUAGUAAAAUUUGAUUUAAACGAAAAACCGAUCCUAAAAUUGAUAAAUUUUAAAAAUGACAUGAUGCAAAUAAUUUAAUGGUAGAGAGAAUAUAAUUAACUAUAAUUGUUGAGAGGAGUCAUUUUACUAAAAUUGACCAAUCAAAUUUUUAAUUUUUUUAAUCAAGAUUAAUGAGGACAAAAUCAAUAAAUAUUUCACAAUUAUAAGAUAUUGAAAUUGAGAAAAUAAGAAUACGAAAUUUCAUUAAAUAAACAUAAGAUGUCAGGAAGUCAAAAUAAUUUUAAGAAAAUUGAAAUUGAAAAAGAAAAGGUGUGGCUAGAAUGGAAACUAAAACGGUUUAUUAACUAAAAUGGAAACUAAAUUGAAAAUAAUGUGUGGCAUUAAUUAACAAUUUGAAAUGGUUCAUUGUGAAGGAAAAGCUGUUUGACCUGAUUCAUGAUCAACCCCGAACAUAUCAACCAAUGAUUGCAACUUGAGAGAGUAAUCUUCUAAUAAUUUUAAUAAAACAGUUGUAGAAAAAUUGAAAUGAGAAAGGUUAACGCGUAAAGACAGACUGGGAAAUGGGAAACGGUAGUUGGAGGUAGGCUGGAAAACCGCCACAGAGACAACGAUGUCUUCCUCCACCUGCACCCGACACAUGUACUAGUAGUUUAUUAACUGGCAAUAACUAAGAAACAACAAAGAAUGUAUUUGAUUGAAUGAAUCAAAUACACAAUAUCUUUCAUGAUGUUAUUUACUACCCUUUCUUCACAUUAUUAUUCAUUAAUUUCUAUAUCUCUCUUCUCUUCUAAUUUUUAUAAUAAACUUUUUGGAGAAAAUUAUUAAAGAAGAUAUUAAACUAAAUAAUAUUUUUGAAAUUUUAUCUUUUGACUCAUCUAAUUCAACACUCUAUUAAUUCUUCUUGUAUGAAUCAACUCAUUUUUGAGUAAAAUAUAUAAUAUUUCCUGUUGCAAUUUUUGUUGUGAAGAUCAAAUCUUAAGCCUCAAUUAAGAAAUAUUUACUAUUAAAAAUAUAAAAUUGGUCUAAUGAGAAAAAAAGAAAAGAAAUGUUAUAUGUUAGAAUUCCGCCACUAACAAAAAAAACUAAUAAUGUUAUUAAUUAAUAUUUGUCAAUAUAAAAAUAAUCGUUAUUUCUUUUACUUCUUUUCUUUAUUUAUAAAAAAAUAUUUUACAAAUAACAUAAUUUUCUCCAUUACUUACAAGCCACGUCCCACACCGUCCAAGGCAAUAUAAUACUCCAACCAUACAACACAAAUUGUUCUCUAUAAAUACACGUUAGCCCACUCUUAAACAUAACAUACUCAACCCUACUUGUGUUCUUGAUUAUACUCUGCGAAAUAAUUUUUGCGUUUCAUUGUCUUAUAAUUAGCAUGGCCUUUGCCGCAGUUAAAGUGUUCAUGAUAUUGGGGCUUUUAGCCACCGCGUGUGUAGCACAAGCCCCUGGACCUGCACCCACGCAACCACCAUCAACAACCCCAUCACCGUCCACGUCAGCACCCGCCCCAUCACCAACCGCAAACACCCC